CUAGAGUGGCAGAAAUCUGGAGGGUGCUGGAACCACUGCAGGGGAGGAAGUAGAAAUGGUGAACAGCUACCUCUCUCGCUGUGCACUCACAACAAAGUACAUGACGAAAUGUACUCGGAAUGAUAUGCUGAAUGUCCAUGCUAUUGGAUGAAACCAACGAAAGCUUAACACCCUUCACCUUUCAUUAUCCAACAGAUAUAUCAAGACUGUGAGCAAAACUGAUGAAGCAUCGCAGAAUCUACAAAAACAUGUGCAGUGAACUUGGGUGUCCUGAGAAUAUGGUGCAACAGUGGGUCCAUGAUGUCCGAGAGUGGGCUU